rnacentral:rRNA from 1 species
UACGUAGGGUGCAAGCGUUGUCCGGAAUUAUUGGGCGUAAAGAGCUCGUAGGCGGUCUGUCGCGUCGGCUGUGAAAACUCGGGGCUCAACCCCGAGCCUGCAGUCGAUACGGGCAGACUAGAGUGCGGUAGGGGAGACUGGAAUUCCUGGUGUAGCGGUGAAAUGCGCAGAUAUCAGGAGGAACACCGGUGGCGAAGGCGGGUCUCUGGGCCGAUACUGACGUGAGGAGCGAAAGCGUGGGGAGCGAACAGG